rnacentral:snRNA from 11 species
CAAUUAGUGCAAUGGCAGUAUCAUAACCAAUGAGGUUAAUCUGGGGCAUGAUUAUUGCUAAUUGAAAACUUCUCUACCAGGGCCUGUAUGAAUGAUGCAGUCAAACUGCCCAAUGUACCUAUUUAGGGCCUAGUCCUGUUUCCACUGGUGUCAAUGGUAUACAAUGAUUUAGACUCAGUCCCUUUGGUUUGUAUCUGGGCUUUGGAAGGAGAAAAAGAAAAACUUUUAAAAUCUUGCAAUAGAG